rnacentral:rRNA from 1 species
UACGUAGGGUGCGAGCGUUAAUCGGAAUUACUGGGCGUAAAGCGUGCGCAGGCGGUUCGUUGUGUCGGCGGUGAAAGCCCCGGGCUUAACCUGGGAAUGGCCGUUGAAACUGGCGAACUGGAGUGUGGCAGAGGGGGGUGGAAUUCCGCGUGUAGCAGUGAAAUGCGUAGAGAUGCGGAGGAACACCGAUGGCGAAGGCGGUUCUCUGGGCCUGUACUGACGCUGAGGAGCGAAAGCGUGGGGAGCGAACAGG